rnacentral:lncRNA from 1 species
GCAUUCAGAUCUUGCAUCUAGUGCCAAACUCUCAGUGGGAAGCUGCAGCUACAGAGCACUUCCAUCACUCAACCUGCAGCUGCUAAGUCAUUGUCUCAGGUUCCUAUUCGGAUUGCAAGAAUUCUUCCAAGCACUCCAUAGACUCUGAGCCUCAAGCCUGUACAAUUUUCCAUGUACAACUGUACAGGAAUCGCCACAUCACCCCAACCAUCAUACAGAGUUCAGUGCACACAAGUGACUAAGCACGGCUUGCUU